rnacentral:rRNA from 1 species
UAUUGCACAAUGGGCGCAAGCCUGAUGCAGCGACGCCGCGUGGGGGAUGACGGCCUUCGGGUUGUAAACCUCUUUCAGCGCCGACGAAGCGUUUAGUGACGGUAGGCGCAGAAGAAGCACCGGCCAACUACGUGCCAGCAGCCGCGGUAAUACGUAGGGUGCGAGCGUUGUCCGGAAUUACUGGGCGUAAAGAGCUCGUAGGUGGUUUGUCGCGUUGUCCGUGAAAUCCCACGGCUUAACUGUGGGCGUGCGGGCGAUACGGGCAGGCUAGAGUACUGCAGGGGAGACUGGAAUUCCUGGUGUAGCGGUGGAAUGCGCAGAUAUCAGGAGGAACACCGGUGGCGAAGGCGGGUCUCUGGGCAGUAACUGACGCUGAGGAGCGAAAGCGUGGGGAGCGAACAGG